AUUGAACGCUGGCGGCAGGCCUAACACAUGCAAGUCGAGCGAGCGGCGGACGGGUGAGUAAUGUAUGGGGACUGCUCGAUAGAGGGGGAUAACUACAGGAAACGGUAGCUAAUACCGCAUACUAUCGGAUAACCCAUAUGGGAUUAGCUAGUGGGUGGGGUAAUGGCUCACCAAGGCGACGAUCCCUAGCUGGUCUGAGAGGAUGAUCAGCCACACUGGGACUGAGACACGGCCCAGACUCCUACGGAGGCAGCAGUGGGGAAUAUUGCACAAUGGGCGAAAGCCUGAUGCAGCCAUGCCGCGUGUAUGAAGAAGGCCCUAGGGUUGUAAAGUACUUUCAGUCGGGAGGCGUUACCGACAGAAGAAGCACCGGCUAACUCCGUGCCAGCAGCCGCGGUAAUAC
rnacentral:rRNA from 1 species